GACGAACGCUGGCGGCGUGCUUAACACAUGCAAGUCGAACGGAAAGGCCCUGCUUUUGUGGGGUGCUCGAGUGGCGAACGGGUGAGUAACACGUGAGUAACCUGUCCUUGACUUUGGGAUAACUUCAGGAAACUGGGGCUAAUACCGGAUAGGAGCUCCUGCUGCAUGGUGGGGGUUGGAAAGUUUCGGCGGUUGGGGAUGGACUCGCGGCUUAUCAGCUUGUUGGUGGGGUAGUGGCUUACCAAGGCUUUGACGGGUAGCCGGCCUGAGGGGGUGACCGGCGACAGUGGGACUGAGAGAGGGCGCAGACGGCUAUGGGGGGCAGCAGUGGGGAAUAGUGCAAAAUGGGGGGAAGCAUGAUGAAGCAACGCCGCGUGCGGGAUGACGGCCUUCGGGUUGUAAACAGCUUUCGCCUGUGACGAAGAGGGAGUGACGGUAAUGGGUAAAGAAGCACCGGCUAACUACGUG
rnacentral:rRNA from 1 species